UCACCCAAUAAAACCCUGUCUUACUCAUCA
rnacentral:piRNA from 1 species